rnacentral:rRNA from 1 species
ACGCUGGCGGCAUGCCUUACACAUGCAAGUCGAACGGCAGCACGGGAGCUUGCUCCUGGUGGCGAGUGGCGAACGGGUGAGUAAAGCAUCGGAACGUACCUUGUCGAGGGGGAUAACGCAGCGAAAGUUGUGCUAAUACCGCAUACGUCCUGAGGGAGAAAGCGGGGGACCGCAAGGCCUCGCGCGAUGAGAGCGGCCGAUGUCAGAUUAGCUAGUUGGUGAGGUAAAGGCUCACCAAGGCGACGAUCUGUAGCGGGUCUGAGAGGAUGAUCCGCCACACUGGGACUGAGACACGGCCCAGACUCCUACGGGAGGCAGCAGUGGGGAAUUUUGGACAAUGGGGGAAACCCUGAUCCAGCCAUGCCGCGUGAGUGAAGAAGGCCUUCGGGUUGUAAAGCUCUUUCGGCCGGGAAAAAAUUGCACGGAUGAACAGUCUGUGUAGAUGAUGGUACCGGACUAAGAAGCACCGGCUAACUACGUGCCAGCAGCCGCGGUAAUACGUAGGGUGCGAGCGUUAAUCGGAAUUACUGGGCGUAAAGCGUGCGCAGGCGGUUUUGUAAGACAGGCGUGAAAUCCCCGGGCUCAACCUGGGAACUGCGCUUGUGACUGCAAGACUCGAGUACGGCAGAGGGGGGUGGAAUUCCACGUGUAGCAGUGAAAUGCGUAGAGAUGUGGAGGAACACCAAUGGCGAAGGCAGCCCCCUGGGUCGAUACUGACGCUCAUGCACGAAAGCGUGGGGAGCAAACAGGAU